CAUCGCCUCCUGCAAACUUCAACGUAUAGGAGGUCUUGCCUGCCCAGUGACAAGUUAAACGGCCGCGGUAUUUUGACCGUGCGAAGGUAGCGCAAUCACUUGUCUUUUAAAUGAAGACCUGUAUGAAUGGUGGAACGAGGGCUUAACUGUCUCCCUUUUCAGGUCAAUGAAAUUGAUCUGCCCGUGCAGAAGCGGACAUAUAAAUACAAGACGAGAAGAGUCAAUGAAAUUGAUCUGCCCGUGCAGAAGCGGACAUAUAAAUACAAGACGAGAAGACCCUUUGGAGCUUAAGACACAAGAUCAACUAUGUCAAGAACCCACUAAACUCAGGUUAAACUAAGUAGCGACUGAUCCGAAUCUUCAGUUGGGGCGACCGCGGGAGAAAACAAAGCUCCCACGCGGACCGGGAUUUAACCCUAAAACCAAGAGAGACAUCUCCAAGUCACAGAACAUCUGACCAUAAAGAUCCGGCCACUUGCCGAUCAACGGACCAAGUUACCCUAGGGAUAACAGCGCAAUCCUCUUCCAGAGUCCAUAUCGACAAGAGGGUUUACGACCUCGAUGUUGGAUCAGGACAUCCUAAUGGUGCAGCCGCUAUUAAGGGUUCGUUUGUUCAACGAUUAACGUCCUA
rnacentral:rRNA from 1 species